ACUGCGGGGGCCACCACCACAUAUCAGGGAGAGUGUGGAGCGGCCCUGGAAGGGCAGGUGAGAGCCACGUGGAGGAGCUAGGUUUGCACAUUUGUGACGAUCCCACUGUGUGAGGGUAGAAGGUCCAGGAAGAAAUGAAGAGUCCAGAAGGCAGACUAGAAAAGGUGGUGGGCCUGAAAAACAAAGGACAAAAGAAAGAAUUUGAUGUGAGACUAGCUCAUGUGGAAGAACUGGAGUGAUCAUUUAAAUCAGUGUCCCUGAAGGCUCAGAGGUUAGGGUUUUUAUGGACAACUUG